AGUGAACGCUGGCGGUAGGCCUAACACAUGCAAGUCGAACGGCAGCACAGUAAGAGCUUGCUCUUACGGGUGGCGAGUGGCGGACGGGUGAGGAAUACAUCGGAAUCUACUUUUUCGUGGGGGAUAACGUAGGGAAACUUACGCUAAUACCGCAUACGACCUACGGGUGAAAGCAGGGGAUCUUCGCACCUUGCGCGAUUGAAUGAGCCGAUGUCGGAUUAGCUAGUUGGCGGGGUAAAGGCCCACCAAGGCGACGAUCCGUAGCUGGUCUGAGAGGAUGAUCAGCCACACUGGAACUGAGACACGGUCCAGACUCCUACGGGAGGCAGCAGUGGGGAAUAUUGGACAAUGGGCGCAAUCCUGAUCCAGCCAUACCGCGUGGGUGAAGAAGGCCUUCGGGUUGUAAAGCCCUUUUGUUGGGAAAGAAAAGCAGCAGGUUAAUACCCCGCUGUUCUGACGGUACCCAAAGAAUAAGCACCGGCUAACUUCGUG
rnacentral:rRNA from 1 species